CCUACGGGUGACAGCAGUGAGGGAUAUUGGUCAAUGGGCGCGAGCCUGAACCAGCCAAGUAGCGUGAAGGAUGACUGCCCUACGGGUUGUAAGCUUCUUUUAUAAAGGAAUAAAGUGAGGCACGUGAGCCUUUUUGUAUGUACUUUAUGAUUAAGGAUCGGCUAACUCCGUGCCAGCAGCCGCGGUAAUACGGAGGAUCCGAGCGUUAUCCGGAUUUAGUGGGGUUAAAGGGAGCGUAGAUGGGUUGUUAAGUCAGUUGUGAAAGUUUGCGGCUCAACCGUAAAAUUGCAAUUGAUACUGGCAGUCUUGAGUACAGUUGAGGUAGGCGGAAUUCGUGGUGUAGCGGUGAAAUGCUUAGAUAUUACGAAGAACUCCGAUUGCGAAGGCAGCUUACUAAACUGCCACUGACAUUGAUGCUCGAAAGUGUGGGUAUCAAACAGGAUUAGAUACCCCGGUAGUC
rnacentral:rRNA from 1 species